AGGACGAACGCUGGCGGCGUGCCUAACACAUGCAAGUCGAACGGAGCCCGCAAGGGUUCAGUGGCGAACGGGUGCGUAACACGUGAGGAACUUGUCCAUCGGCGGGGGAUAGCCGGCCCAACGGCCGGGUAAUACCGCGUACGCCGUCCGGAGCGCAUGCUCUGGCCGGGAAAGCAGCAAUGCACCGAUGGAGAGCCUCGCGGCCUAUCAGCUAGUUGGUGGGGUAAUGGCCUACCAAGGCGACGACGGGUAGCUGGUCUGAGAGGAUGACCAGCCACAUUGGGACUGAGACACGGCCCAGACUCCUACGGGAGGCAGCAGUGGGGAAUAUUGCGCAAUGGGCGAAAGCCUGACGCAGCGACGCCGCGUGUGGGAUGACGGCCUUCGGGUUGUAAACCACUGUCGCGAGGGACGAAGAUCUGACGGUACCUCGAAAGGAGCACCGGCUAACUCUGCGCCAGCAGCCGCGGU
rnacentral:rRNA from 1 species